rnacentral:misc_RNA from 1 species
GCAAACUUGGUCAUUUAGAGGAAGUAAAAGUCGUAACAAGGUUUCCGUAGGUGAACCUGCGGAAGGAUCAUUAUUGAAUAAACUUGGUGGGUUGUCGCUGGCUUUUCGAAGCAUGUGCACGCCUGCCGACUUUAUCCAUCCACCUGUGCACACUUUGUAGUCUUGGAGGAUUGAAAGCAGUCGACCUCGAUAGGCUCUUGCAGCCUCUGUCGGAUUGGGGGAAUGUCCUGCAAAGCUUGGCUUCCCCUGGGCCGUAAUCACCCUCUCUGACUAUGUCUUUUGUAUACACUACAUAGCAUGUUGCAGAAUGUAUGAAUGGGCCUCUGUGCCUAUAAAUGUCAAUACAACUUUCAGCAACGGAUCUCUUGGCUCUCGCAUCGAUGAAGAACGCAGC